GUGUUUCAGCACCACAUGUUCUAAAACUGCAACGGCACAGAGGUUAGUCUGGCCUUUGUGCACAGAUGAUACAGAAAUUUUUGAAGUGCUCCAUAUUUUG
rnacentral:snRNA from 1 species